CACGAAACAAGGCGAGCUAAUUAACUGUAAAUCUUAGUUUAUUGAAUGUUGCAUAAUUGAUAUAAACAUUUAAUUAGGGGUGAUAGGCUAAUCAAGUCUUAAGAUAACUUGCUGUUUAUUAAAUGUAUCGAGUACAAAGUCAAUUAAAGAGUGCUUAGAUUCUUUAAAAAUACUAAACUCAAUAAUAUUCCUGAGCCUAGCUAUAACUAGCGGACAUUAUUUAACACAACAUUAAUUUUGAGAUGGUUGUAAAAUAUAAUAAACUAUUUAAAAUUAACUGAAAAUAUAAAUAAUGUUAUUAUAAGUAAUCUAUUAAAUAUUUCUCAUGAACUCGGCAAUAAUUUUCUUCAACUGUUUAUCAAAAACAUAGCUUAUAGGAAAAAUUAUUAGUAUUUUCUGCUCCAUGAGAUAUUAAAUUGCCGCAGUACUUUGACUGUGCUAAGGUAGCAUAAUCAAUUGGCUUGUAAUUUAAGUCUAGAAUGAACGAAAGCAUGAAAGAAAAACUUUAUUAGAAAUAUUAAAUUAAAUUAUUUUGUAAGUGAAAAUACUUACAAAGAAAUAUUAGACGAGAAGACCCUAGAAAUUUUAAGAUUAUGUAACAGACUCUUUUUGUUGGGGCAACAAUAUAACAAGUAAUUUAUAAUUAUUAACAAGAAACUAAUGGAUAGAUAAAAUUACUCUAGGGAUAACAGCGUAAUGUCUAAACGUUUGCGACCUCGAUGUUGGAUUAGGAAAUAUAAGCUUAGAA
rnacentral:rRNA from 1 species